UACGAAGGGGGCUAGCGUUGUUCGGAAUUACUGGGCGUAAAGCGCGCGCAGGCGGUCUUCCAAGUCAGUGGUGAAAUCCUGGAGCUCAACUCCAGAACUGCCUUCGAUACUGGAAGACUUGAGUCCGGGAGAGGUGAGUGGAACUGCGAGUGUAGAGGUGAAAUUCGUAGAUAUUCGCAAGAACACCAGUGGCGAAGGCGGCUCACUGGCCCGGUACUGACGCUGAGGCGCGAAAGCGUGGGGAGCAAACAGG
rnacentral:rRNA from 1 species